rnacentral:lncRNA from 1 species
AUUGUUAGGGCUAUGGAAACCUGACGGUUUGAGGGCAGACCACCAAGAGAAUUGUUACAUCACAUCCCCAGCUAGACCAGGCUUAGUUUGCUUAGUAAGAAAGGCAAUAUUUUUGUUGAAUUUCACAUUUUCUACCAAGUAAUGAAUUAACCUUUUUGAAAUCGCAGAGGAGAUCACAGCAGGAAAAUGAAGCCAUAUCCUGUACACGCUGGCUACCACAUAUGAACCAUCAGAGAGAUGGAGGGCAAUGCCUGGAGGAAGGACGGGAAGAGGGAAUAUAAGAACAUUCAGUACUAAUGGAUUCCAAACUCCGUGUGAUAACCAGCCGGUCCUGGACCAGCUUAUCAUCGCAGUGUGGACUGAUUCUUUUUUGCAGGAAGUUAGUUUUGACUUCACCAGCUGGACUGGAGGGCACCUGUGGCAUCCCUUGUCCUAUUGCUGUGGGGGACUUCGUCCAGCUUUUAGACAUGCAAGACUAAAUGUGAAUACCAUCUAUACAACAAAUGGUAAUUUAUUAUGUUCUCCAGAAACUGAUUUUGCAACAUUGCUAAACUAGCAGACUGGAGAGAUGCUCACAAUUCUCAGAUGGUAUGAGUGUUUCUCUGCAUGGGCAUCAGAGCUGCCACUGCUUGGCAUUCCAAGAACUUCCCAGCUACAGGUUCAUCACCUUCUCCUCCCAGGAAAGGCAUGUGAGAUUCUGCACAGAGACAGGAAUGUCGUGCCAAAGAGCCUGAAGUCAUGCCAGUGGUGGAGUGCUGAUUGGAACGGACUGGGUUUGGACGACAUCUCUACUCAUCUGUAAUGGAAGCUGUGUCAAAAUAGGAAAAAUUUUGAAAAACUCUGGUGGCCUUUGGGUGAUGAAGUUAAUGAUAAUUGCCACCUUUUUUCGUGAAGUUUCUUGAACUUUGACAACUUUAGGAACAAUAAUACUGAUACUGAUAAUAUGUCAUCUUGUUCUCAUGUUCUGUGAUUCCGAAGAAGCAAGAACUGACCACCAUGUACAUCAGCUGGAACCUUUCUGGAAUCCACACAGAGUAAUAAUCCUUAGGAAAAGCUACCUGGGAUUCAGCUGUUACAAUCAGAAGGCCACGAACACUCAACUGGAACCUUUCAUAAUCCCAGUAAAAG